UGUGAAUCUGUCGGGACCACCCGAUAAGCCUGAAUACUCCCUGGUGACCGAUAGCGGACUAGUACCGUGAGGGAAAGGUGAAAAGUACCCCGGGAGGGGAGUGAAAUAGUACCUGAAACCGUGCGCUUACAAUCCGUCAGAGCCUGCGAGUCACUUGUGACUGUGGGUGAUGGCGUGCCUUUUGAAGAAUGAGCCUGCGAGUUAGUGGCAUGUCGCGAGGUUAACCCGUGUGGGGUAGCCGUAGCGAAAGCGAGUCCGAAUAGGGCGUAUCCACUUGUGUGGUGUAGUGGCGUGUUCUAGACCCGAAGCGGAGUGAUCUACCCAUGGCCAGGUUGAAGCGACGGUAAGACGUCGUGGAGGACCGAACCCACUUAGGUUGAAAACUGAGGGGAUGAGUUGUGGGUAGGGGUGAAAGGCCAAUCAAACUCCGUGAUAGCUGGUUCUCCCCGAAAUGCAUYUAGGUGCAGCGUCACGUGUUUCUCGUCGGAGGUAGAGCUACUGGAUGGUCUAGGGGGCUUACCGGCUUACCGAAAUCAGCCAAACUCCGAAUGCCGA
rnacentral:ncRNA from 1 species